AAUUCCAAAGGCUAAGGAAAGCAUUGCGCAUGCGGGAAACCCACGCUGAGGGAAGAAUCAUGGGAAAGAGAGACGGGGUUCCACCGUGUUAGCCAGGAUGGUCUCGAUUUCCUGACCUCGUCAUCCUCCCGCCUUGGCCUCCCAAAGUGCUGGGAUUACAGGCUUGAGCCACCGCGCCCCGCUCUUUCGUGUUCCAAAGGCUUUUUAAAUAAACUUCCACUCCUGUCCUGGAUUCUGCUUUAUGGCCCUCAGUCGAAUUCUUUCUUCUGAGGAGGCAAGGACUGAAGUUGCUUCUGACCAGUACAGGAGAAAACGAAUACAGCAGGGAUGACUUCCACCAGCUCCACUUUGCAGCUCUGAGGUGUAUUAAAAAUGACCUGGAAGAAGUCAUGCCACGGGCCAGACCUUAACAUUCCUUUCGGCUUACCCCAGGAUUUCAGACAAAGCUUCACUUUCCUAACCAGUCACAAAUCAGAGAAUUUUUGAUUCCACCUAUGACCUGUGAGCUCCUGCUUCAAGAUAUUCCACCUUUUUUAGGCCAAACCAAUGUAUAACCUCCAAGUGUCGAUUUACACUUUCGACUGUAACUUCUGCUUUCCUGAGAUUUACCCCUGCCUUUAAAAACCCUUGCUUGUAAUCCCUCAGGGAGGCCGUGUAUUUAUUAAUCAUGAGCUGCCCAAUUCUCCUUGCUUGGUGCCCUGCAAAUAAACACCCUCUUUUCUCCCACUGCAAAA
rnacentral:lncRNA from 1 species